rnacentral:rRNA from 1 species
UACAGAGGGGGCUAGCGUUGUUCGGAAUUACUGGGCGUAAAGGGCGCGUAGGUGGCCUGUUAAGUCGAACGUGAAAUCCCCGGGCUCAACCCGGGAACUGCGUCCGAGACUGGCAGGCUCGAAUCCGGGAGAGGGAUGUGGAAUUCCAGGUGUAGCGGUGAAAUGCGUAGAUAUCUGGAGGAACACCGGUGGCGAAGGCGGCAUCCUGGACCGGUAUUGACGCUGAGGCGCGAAAGCCAGGGGAGCAAAGCAGGAGUUAA